rnacentral:misc_RNA from 1 species
GAUGAAGAACGUAGCGAAAUGCGAUAAGUAAUGUGAAUUGCAGAAUUCAGUGAAUCAUCGAGUCUUUGAACGCACAUUGCGCCCCCUGGUAUUCCGGGGGGCAUGCCUGUCCGAGCGUCAUUGCUGCCCUCAAGCACUGCUUGUGUGUUGGGCCCCCGUCCCCGGUUUCCCCCGGGGACGGGCCCGAAAGGCAGCGGCGGCACCGCGUCCGGUCCUCGAGCGUAUGGGGCUUUGUCACCCGCUCUGUAGGCCCGGCCGGCGCCAGCCGACACCCAACUUUAUUUCUAAGGUUGACCUCGGAUCAGGUAGGGAUACCCGCUGAACUUAAGCAUAUCAAUAAGCGGAGGA